UACGGAGGAUGCGAGCGUUAUCCGGAUUUAUUGGGUUUAAAGGGUGCGUAGGCGGGCUGUUAAGUCAGCGGUAAAAGCCCGGGGCUCAACCCCGGUGAGCCGUUGAAACUGGCUGUCUUGAGAUGUCGAGAGGUAUGCGGAAUGCGCAGUGUGGCGGUGAAAUGCUUAGAUAUUGCGCAGAACUCCGAUUGCGAAGGCAGCAUACCGGCGGCGAUCUGACGCUGAGGCACGAAAGCGUGGGUAUCGAACAGG
rnacentral:rRNA from 1 species